GUGCAGCUAGACAACUGCUUAUCAUGGUCAUCUCAAAUAACUAAUCUAUGUAAAAAAAAAUAUUAACAGCAUGCAUAAUCAGAAGGAGGGCUAAAUAUUUACCAGGGAAAAUUCAGCAAAUAACACAGGCAUUGGUUGAGAGUCAAGUGAACUAUUGUUGGGUGGUCUGGGGAAAUGCAUCAUCAAGUGAUGUUAGGAGGCUGCAGAAUGCACAGAAUAAAGCAGCAAGGAUUGUUGUAAGGUGGAGAUAUAGUUCUUCUGUUGCAGUCAUUGGUUGUUUUAAGGUGGAGAUAUGGUUCUUCUGUUGCAGUCAUGGGUUGUUUUAAGGUGGAGAUAUGGUUCUUCUGUUGCAGUCAUGGGUUGUUUUAAGGUGGAGAUAUGGUUCUUCUGUUGCAGUCAUGGGUUGUUUUAAGGUGGAGAUAUGGUUCUUCUGUUGCAGUCAUGGGUUGUUUUAAGGUGGAGAUAUGGUUCUUCUGUUGCAGUCAUGGGUUGUUUUAAGGUGGAGAUAUGGUUCUUCUGUUGCAGUCAUGGGUUGUUUUAAGGUGGAGAUAUGGUUCUUCUGUUGCAGUCAUGGGUUGUUUUAAGGUGGAGAUAUGGUUCUUCUGUUGCAGUCAUGGGUUGUUUUAAGGUGGAGAUAUGGUUCUUCUGUUGCAGUCAUGGGUUGUUUUAAGGUGGAGAUAUGGUUCUUCUGUUGCAGUCAUGGGUUGUUUUAAGGUGGAGAUAUGGUUCUUCUGUUGCAGUCAUGGGUUGUUUUAAGGUGGAGAUAUGGUUCUUCUGUUGCAGUCAUGGGUUGUUUUAAGGUGGAGAUAUGGUUCUUCUGUUGCAGUCAUGGGUUGUUUUAAGGUGGAGAUAUGGUUCUUCUGUUGCAGUCAUGGGUUGUUUUAAGGUGGAGAUAUGGUUCUUCUGUUGCAGUCAUGGGUUGUUUUAAGGUGGAGAUAUGGUUCUUCUGUUGCAGUCAUGGGUUGUUUUAAGGUGGAGAUAUGGUUCUUCUGUUGCAGUCAUGGGUUGUUUUAAGGUGGAGAUAUGGUUCUUCUGUUGCAGUCAUGGGUUGUUUUAAGGUGGAGAUAUGGUUCUUCUGUUGCAGUCAUGGGUUGUUUUAAGGUGGAGAUAUGGUUCUUCUGUUGCAGUCAUGGGUUGUUUUAAGGUGGAGAUAUGGUUCUUCUGUUGCAGUCAUGGGUUGUUUUAAGGUGGAGAUAUGGUUCUUCUGUUGCAGUCAUGGGUUGUUUUAAGGUGGAGAUAUGGUUCUUCUGUUGCAGUCAUGGGUUGUUUUAAGGUGGAGAUAUGGUUCUUCUGUUGCAGUCAUGGGUUGUUUUAAGGUGGAGAUAUGGUUCUUCUGUUGCAGUCAUGGGUUGUUUUAAGGUGGAGAUAUGGUUCUUCUGUUGCAGUCAUGGGUUGUUUUAAGGUGGAGAUAUGGUUCUUCUGUUGCAGUCAUGGGUUGUUUUAAGGUGGAGAUAUGGUUCUUCUGUUGCAGUCAUGGGUUGUUUUAAGGUGGAGAUAUGGUUCUUCUGUUGCAGUCAUGGGUUGUUUUAAGGUGGAGAUAUGGUUCUUCUGUUGCAGUCAUGGGUUGUUUUAAGGUGGAGAUAUGGUUCUUCUGUUGCAGUCAUGGGUUGUUUUAAGGUGGAGAUAUGGUUCUUCUGUUGCAGUCAUGGGUUGUUUUAAGGUGGAGAUAUAGUUCUUCUGUUGCAGUCAUGCGCAGUGUUCUUGGUUGGUCAUCAAUCGACAAGGUAAUUGAAAAAAACAUGCUCAUUUUAUUUUAUAAUAUAAAUCA